CCUACGGGAGGCAGCAGUGAGGAAUAUUGGUCAAUGGACGAGAGUCUGAACCAGCCAAGUAGCGUGAAGGAUGACUGCCCUAUGGGUUGUAAACUUCUUUUAUAUGGGAAUAAAAUGUUCCACGUGUGGGAUUUUGUAUGUACCAUAUGAAUAAGGAUCGGCUAACUCCGUGCCAGCAGCCGCGGUAAUACGGAGGAUCCGAGCGUUAUCCGGAUUUAUUGGGUUUAAAGGGAGCGUAGGUGGAUUGUUAAGUCAGUUGUGAAAGUUUGCGGCUCAACCGUAAAAUUGCAGUUGAAACUGGCAGUCUUGAGUACAGUAGAUGUGGGCGGAAUUCGUGGUGUAGCGGUGAAAUGCUUAGAUAUCACGAAGAACUCCGAUUGCGAAGGCAGUUCACUGGACUGCAACUGACACUGAGGCUCGAAAGUGUGGGUAUCAAACAGGAUUAGAUACCCCUGUAGUC
rnacentral:rRNA from 1 species